rnacentral:lncRNA from 1 species
ACAUCAUACCAGUCUAUCUCCUCUUCCUCUCCCUUCUCAUCGUUAAUAACACAAAUGUCUCACUUGCUUGAUCUUCCUCUCCCACUACCAAUAUUGACAAAGUCAACUACCACGUCGUUAUUGUCGAUCACCACCACAAUAAUCACUCAUAGUAUCGCCAUCCACUAUUAUUGUUAAAAUUAUCUUUUUACUCAUAUUUUUGUAUUAUUCAUGCUCGUGCAGUCACAUGUUGUUUUACCGAUGAUGUUAAGAUAAAUUAAAUGUUUCACUUUCAUAAUUAUAAAAAAUUAAUAUAUAAUUUUAUUUUAAUAUAAAUUUUAAAAU